AAUUAUUAUGAGAAAUUCGGUUGGCUUAUGUCAAAACAAGAAAAGUAUAUUAAAAGAUGUCCCAAAUCUUUAAAAACAGAGAUGUAGUAUUCAUUUCAGUGAAAUAAAAUUGCUUUAAAAAUAUUCAGCAAGGUACACGCGCAGUGCAAAGCAUGUAAAAUUGAAAAACUACAAAAAUGACCUUCAGAUCAAAUGAAAAAUGACACGUUCCAUUCAUCCAGAUAACCCUCUGCUUUAAAAAAAUAGUGCUAGAGGUUAGGUUGUUUUUGACGAUGACAAUAAUGCAGCAACACAUUCUACAAAUUGUACAACAAUGCAACUACUGCAAAAGAAAACAUAGCGGCAGUUGAUUUUCUGGCUGCAGGUUGUAUUACAGUCCAUGUGUGGCAUGUCAAUAGUUUACAGUAUGCCUCACCUGAGGGCUCUUCUGUGCUGCUGGCUGCUGUCGUAGGCGGUGUGACUGGAAUCUCUGCUCCCCACCACCAAGCGCGCGCGCACACACACACACACACACACACCCACACAUACACACAAACACAAAGGCAAACACAAGGAUCAGUGCCCUCAUGCUGUGUGAAUAACAAGUACACAACAGAUUGCAAAAGUGCUCUUUCUCCCCGGAUAAGCUGUUUGUCUAUUUUCUCUCUUUCCCUCUAUAUGAACUUAACAUACUCUAAUCAGUUCUCGACAGCCAUACACAGCUAAUUUGGUCCUACCUGACUUUUGCCACGAUGUAUGGCGUUUCUCAUUGAGGAAUUGCCGACGAUUUAUGCACAGUAAUUCAAAUUUCAAGGGCACAUUUGACGGUGGAGAAUGUUGGAUGAUUUGGCGGUAGUCAAGUCGAUCUGAACUGCACGCCCGUGGUCGGAGUUGCUUGAGGUGGUUGUGACCACUCCUUCAGUGGCGCAGCCCUCCCUGCUGCGGAUCUGCCGCACUUUGUUCAUCUGUGAAACAUCGGGUCUAAUCCACUGCCGUGCACUUUGAUGGGAUUUAUACCGGUUGUGAAAACGGAGCCCUUCAUUUUUAAGACAUACAGAGUCAUCAAAUGUUCAAAUUUCCAUUGGUGCUUGCGGUUACGUUUUGCCUUACAGGGGGAGGAAGCAGGCGUGAAACACGGCCUUCUUAUCUGCAAAGGAGCUGGAUGCUGAAGAAGAUAGAAGUGGGGAGAAAAGAACGAAGCUGUGAAACCGCAGCCAUCAAAGUGCGGAGGAAGAGAAAGAGUAGCAAAGCAGCUGUGCGCUGGUUUUGCCGGCGGCACCCACGGGAUGGCAAUCGCAUGCUGUGAGGAACACAGGAAGAAAAGGAGAGGCACAGCAGAGACAGAGCGGUAGAUUUGUCUUCACGCUUUGUUUGGAGGAAGAAACAAGCCGAAAUAUGCUCCAAAAUAAGUCUGCCUUGCCUGACAUGAAGAAGCCUCCUCGCUAAACAACAUGGUCAUAGAGUUGAGAAAGCCGAGAGUGCGACAGACAGCCACCAAAUACUCCGGUGCCCUGGAGCCGUGUAAAACUAAACACCCUUGGGAAAACAAAAUGCCCAGCAUGAUGAAGAGAGAAGAACCGAAUUCCCAAACAAGUGCUUGGAGGCUCGUGUCAACACAUCAAUGUCAACGAAUAUAGAACCCAUCACCUCGCAGCCAAACUAUGGCAACUCAUGAAAACUAUUCGCAGAAAUUCCGAACACUGCGCAACGCCACGGAAUAGUUGUGUGGAAUUGACAUCGAAGCACAAAAGAACACAAAACAUCUCCAUGCGUCAACGGCGGCUUGAGUCUGAACUUUCACGCCAAGCUUUCCACAGAGGCCUGUCUGAGGUCUGUCACUGUCGACUUGUUUUAUUUACUCGCUUCCUGUCGAGUGAUAUGGGAAAACGUGGGCUUAAGCUGUCGGUGCGCGGCUGAUAUUUCCACGCGGGCCUGUCCCUCGGGUGCGUGAGCCUCAGUUUUUGGAGCGCUUGGCUUGUUUGCGCAGGGAUUAUUCUGCUGUUAUUUUUACCUGGAGCUACAGGAAAGGUGCGAAAACUCACUUUGACCUUUAUUAGCUCAGCUGAGGGUUAGAAGGCAUUAGGCGGCGAGCGCACCUGCGCGGGGGCGUGUUCACGCCACCUCCGCCGCCUUCCAUUCCUUCCUAUCUUUCACCCUCACGACUGACCUCCCGCUUGCUAUGCCGAUCACUUCACACCUCUCCUCUGUUUGCUUUGGUUGUCCUGUCAUCCCCACACCUUCCCUCGAAUUAAGCCAAAUAACUCAGUGUCAAAAAAGGGAACACCCACUCCACCGCCCUCGCUCCGCCAUCCCCGCAGACCUCCAACUCAUCUCCGCUGACAGAGGAAGAUGGGGGCGAGACAAGGCUCAGGAAUGUUGCGACGCCGCGCUUCCUCCCCCAUUUCCUGUCAUUAAUCUACAACUCCAGAGCAGUGGUCCCCAAACGGCCGGUCGCGGACCAGGACCGGUCCGUCAGACAUGUGGUAUGGAGCCAGGUUGUCAUAAUUAGGAAUUUUCCAAUAUAGUUUUCAUUUUUGUUUUGAUUUUGUUUUUCCUAAAUAAAAAAAAAUCAUUUAGUUGAAGCAGUUUUGAGAGCAAGUUCAUUAGUUUGUAUUAGGUUUUUUAAUGCUUCAUUUUGGUUUAGUUCUAUUAGUUUUUAGGUUUUAGUUUUUUUCCCCAAAAAUACUGUGUGUGAUGUAUUUGUUGAGUGCAAGAUCGCAAUCCAAGGUCACAAUAAGUAACGUAAGUAAGUAACUACAAUUCCGCAAUGACUUAUUUCGAUCAAAAGAGCAGUGUUGGGCAAGUUACUUCCAAAAUGUAAUUUAUUUCAUAUUACCAGUUACUUGCCUUUGAAAGGAAGUUGAAUUCGCUGUUUGAUCAUGCUUGAAAGUCACUUUUGCAUUUGAAAUGAAUGGAAAUGCCAAUCAACCGGGCCCCCCCCCCAAAAAAAACCCAAACCAACAGGAACAAAAUAUGUUUUUGAAUGAGAAAUAUAGCACUCAAUGAUAUUUUACUUCCUACGAACAUAUUGUAAUUACAUAAAGAAAUAUUAAAGAAAAGAAUUAGUCAUUUUUUCUAUCAAGUGAAUGGCCACUGUGCUGCUGCCAUCAGAGUGCAGUCUAAGACGGCAUACGGAUAUACGGAACUGUAGGCUCAGCUCUUCUCUCGAGCUUCUCAUUGCGUCAGUAAUCGGAUUUAUUCACAGAGAAUAAAGAAUAAUCAGUGUGCCUGUGAGUAUGGUGAUAUGGUUUGCCUACAUGUGUUGCUGCACUAUUUGUGUUCAGAUAUCCGUUACUUAAAUUCUAUGCCACGUAGAUGCUCAUUGUUAGCCUAUGUGUCUUUGGAAUGUCCCACUGUAUGCUAACGUUUAUGUUACAGAGAUUAUGUGGUCGCUUUAAAUACAAAAGAUCCAAUUCUCUUAUUCUAAAUCUCGUUUUAAUUCCCAUGGUUUUAUGUUUGACAGUAACCUUCAGCUGAUAGUGGCAGCUUGAGUCCUCAUUUUUGAAGAAUUAAUACUAAUUAUAGCUGCCAAGCUGCCACUUGUGGUUAGGUGAGUCAGGACACUUGUAUCUAACGACACCACUGUAUCUUUGUUCGGCAGUCUAUGCAAGGUGAUUGAUCGUGGCAGGGAGGAAAAUUAACCUCCAUAUCCAUUUUUGUGACUUUUUUUGUGUUAUGGUGUGCUUUCAGAUUUUUUUUUUUCCUCGUUUAAACAAUAGUUGGGGGGGGAAACUCCUGUGGAGUUCAGAGUGAAAAUACGCUUUCUGAGAACUUGUGUUUUGGCAAUAAAGUGGGACGGUGUACCCUUGCAGGCUUUCCUGUGCGAGAUGGGU